AUUGAACGCUGGCGGAAUGCUUUACACAUGCAAGUCGAGCGGCAGCGCGGGGGCAACCCUGGCGGCGAGCGGCGAACGGGUGAGUAACAUAUCGGAACGUACCCCGUCGUGGGGGAUAACACAGCGAAAGCUGUGCUAAUACCGCAUACGACCUGAGGGUGAAAGCGGGGGACCGCAAGGCAUCGCGCGAUGGGAGCGGCCGAUAUCGGAUUAGCUUGUUGGUGAGGUAAAGGCUCACCAAGGCGACGAUCUGUAGCUGGUCUGAGAGGACGACCAGCCACACUGGAACUGAGACACGGUCCAGACUCCUACGGGAGGCAGCAGUGGGGAAUUUUGUACAAUGGGCGAAAGCCUGAUCCAGCCAUUCCGCGUGCAGGAUGAAGGCCCUCGGGUUGUAAACUGCUUUUGUACAGAACGAAAAGGUUUCUACUAAUACUAGGAGCUCAUGACGGUACUGUAAGAAUAAGCACCGGCUAACUACGUGCCAGCCGCCGCAGUAA
rnacentral:rRNA from 1 species